AUUGGAGUAGUUCAGCUGGUUAGAGCGUGUGGUUUCUAAAGCACAAGGUCGAAGGUUCAAACCCUUCCUCCAACA